rnacentral:rRNA from 1 species
AGUGAACGCUGGCGGCGGGCCUAAUACAUGCAAGUCGAGCGAACACACAAUAAGCUUUCUCCUCUAAGGUUAGCGAGUGACGGACGGGUAACAAAUGGAUCACCUUCUACUUAGACUUGGGUGACAUCGUGGAGCCACAGAUACUACUACAUAAUACGUUCUACGGCAUAAUUCAGUAGUUCAUCGCACUUUGGCUGUUUCUUUGAGAUGAAUCCGUGCCGCAUUAGCUAGUUGGUAAGGUAACGGCAUACCAAGGCAACGAUGCGUAGCCGACCUGAGAGGGUGAUCGGCCACACUGGAACUGAGACACGGUCCAGACUCCUACGGGAGGCAGCAGUGGGGAAUCUUCGGCAAUGGGCGAAAGCCUGACGGAGCAACGCCGCGUGAGUGAUGAAGGUCUUCGGAUCGUAAAACUCUGUUAUUAGGAAAGAACAAAUGCGUAAGUAACUAUCCACGUUUUGACGGUACCUAAACAGAAAGCCACGGCUAACUACGUG